UUCAUAAUCAGUUGCAGUUCUGAGGAUGUGUGGCUGUUAGUCAUAGAAGGUACUGCAGGGACUAUGAGCAGAUCCCUGGUGUACAGUCGUAGGUCAACCCUGCUUCUUGGAAACUUGGUUGGGUGGCAUUCUCUGAAUACUUUGGUGAAUUUUCAUUCUCCUGAAAUUCCAGGACUGCUAGCAGUGGAUAGAAAAAUGGUCUUCUUUUGUCCAUGAGUUGCCGACCCCUCAACAAACUUGCUUCUCCCCACAAAGGCUGGUCAUGUAUAGCUUGAGCAGACAACAAGUAAGGUGGGUGAAAAGUACAUGAAUUAUUUUGAUUUAGGUUUAAUGAAGUACUGCAGAUCAUAAUAUGAGGAACAAUUCUGAAUUGGCACAUGGGUGGGGAGAAAUUAUAUGUUGGUGGCAGGUGCCAGUUUACAGUCCUGGAAGGUGAAGUCCUCUGUUUAUCUACACAAUCGGGGAUCAAAGGA
rnacentral:lncRNA from 1 species